rnacentral:lncRNA from 1 species
GCAAAUCAGGGCAUCUUUGCUUUCGGAACAAAGCUUUUUUGUUACUGCACAUUUAUUUUCUCUGAGAACAUGUAUUUCCCAAAUUAGACUUGAACAUUCUAGUCAUGAAUAGUGCAGAUAGCAACAAAAAUGCUUAGAAUAUAAGAGGAAGCUAUUAUAUCUAAUACUUCUUUGCAGCUCCAGUGUCGCCUGCCUGUACUGGGGAAGUCCUUUUACCAGGACGUGGGAGGGAUGGUCAGGUGAGCGUGAGGUGGCAGUUCUCAGGCACAGGUGUGUGCUCAUCUGCAGCCUUUGCAGGCUGAAUAGGAUCUGAGCACACAGCAUCAGGCCAGGUAAAUUCAGGCACACCCGGAGCCCCAACUAGUGUAAGCAGCUGUCUAAGGCAGCUUCAGGGAACACUCAGGAGAACUUGUGAAGGGACUGUUGGCAUCUCUGACCUCCACUUAACUUUAGUGUAGGGUUUGAAGCAUAAAGCAUAUACAGGUCUAAGCCUUUUGACCUUGAGAAUGAAAAUCCUCAACCAAAAAUUUAUUUCUAGAAUGAAAACAAUAUAAUAAAACAAUUGCUAAAAAUUAUUAAAGAGAAGCAAGAGCAGAGAUGACAAA